rnacentral:tRNA from 1 species
UCCCUGAUAGCUCAGUUGGUAAAGAAUCCGCCUUCAAUGCGGGAGACCAUGGUUCGAUUCCUGGGUUGGGAA